CCUACGGGUGGCAGCAGUGAGGAAUAUUGGUCAAUGGGCGCGAGCCUGAACCAGCCAAGUAGCGUGGAGGAGGACUGUACUACGUGUUGUAAACUUCUUUUGUAAAGGAAUCAAUUGAGGCACGUGUGCCUGUUUGUAUGUAUUUUAUGAAAAAGGAUCGGCUAACUCCGUUCCAGCAGCCGCGGUACUACGGAGGAUCCGAGCGUUAUCCGGAUUUAUGGGGGGUAAAGGGAGCGGAGAUGGGUUGUUAAGUCAGUUGUGAAAGUGCGCGGAUCAACCGUAAAAUGUAAGUUGAUAAUGGCAGAGUGGAUUACAGUGAAGGUAGGCGGAAUGCGUGGUGUAGCGGUGAAAUGCUUAGAUAUCACGAAGAACUCCGAUUGCGAAGGCAGCCUACUAACCUGCCACUGACAUUGAUGCUCGAAAGUGUGGGUAUCAAACAGGAUUAGAGAACCGGGUAGUC
rnacentral:rRNA from 1 species